UACGUAGGGUCCGAGCGUUGUCCGGAUUUAUUGGGCGUAAAGAGCGUGUAGGCGGCCGUACAGGUCAGCUGUGAAAACUCGAGGCUCAACCUCGAGACGUCGGUUGAAACCGUACGGCUAGAGUCCGGAAGAGGAGAGUGGAAUUCCCGGUGUAGCGGUGAAAUGCGCAGAUAUCGGGAAGAACACCCGUGGCGAAGGCGGCUCUCUGGGACGGUACUGACGCUGAGACGCGAAAGCGUGGGGAGCGAACAGG
rnacentral:rRNA from 1 species